rnacentral:rRNA from 1 species
UACGUAGGGUGCAAGCGUUGUCCGGAAUUAUUGGGCGUAAAGAGCUCGUAGGCGGCUUGUCGCGUCGGUUGUGAAAGCCCGGGGCUUAACUCCGGGUCUGCAGUCGAUACGGGCAGGCUAGAGUGUGGUAGGGGAGAUCGGAAUUCCUGGUGUAGCGGUGAAAUGCGCAGAUAUCAGGAGGAACACCGGUGGCGAAGGCGGAUCUCUGGGCCAUUACUGACGCUGAGGAGCGAAAGCGUGGGGAGCGAACAGG